rnacentral:rRNA from 1 species
AAGUCUUCGGACUUAGCGGCGGACGGGUGAGUAACGCGUGGGAACAUACCCUUUGGUACGGAAUAGCCUCGGGAAACUGGGAGUAAUACCGUAUGUGCCCUUCGGGGGAAAGAUUUAUCGCCAAAGGAUUGGCCCGCGUUGGAUUAGGUAGUUGGUGGAGUAAGAGCCUACCAAGGCGACGAUCAGUAGCUGGUUUGAGAAGAUGAUCAGCCACAUUGGAACUGAGACACGGUCCAAACUCC